ACUUUGAAGAGAGAGUUAAAGAGGACGUGAAACCGGUGAGGUGGAAACGGACAGAGCUGGCGUAUCUGGCCUGUAUUCAGCCGUACGGCUUCUGGCGUCGGGGUGGCCCGCCUCCAGAUUGGGACGGUGCCUCGUCUGCCGGGGGUCGGAUGGUGCAUUUACAGGUGGAGUGCGCCGAGGCGUCCGGUGCAGCGGCAUGAGCUCGGGCUUGAGGCCAGCGCCGCUUGCGCUGUUGGUACCCGGCUCGGGGGAGUGUUGUUUGUGCUGGGCGUUUGGCUUGAGCAGUGGUUUUUCGGGACCGAGUUGUUGCCGUGCUAGCAGUCGGUAACGGUCGCGUGCGACACGUGCUGGCGGUUGGUGCGGUCCGGCGUGGGCCCCCUCACAUGUUCGCCCUCGGUGUAACAGCCGGUCAUCUGUCCGACCCGUCUUGAAACACGGACCAAGGAGUUUAGCGUGUGCGCGAGUCAUUGGGUGUUGAAAACUCAGAGGCGCAAUGAAAGUGAAGGCCUCCCUUGCGGAGCUGAUGUGCGAUCCCGUGUGCCGCGGUGCAUGGGCGCAGCAUAGUCCCGUCCCGAUCGCUUGCGGUGGGGCGGAGACAGAGCGUACGCGCUGAGACCCGAAAGAUGGUGAACUAUUCCUGAGCAGGAUGAAGCCAGAGGAAACUCUGGUGGAAGUCCGAAGCGAUU
rnacentral:rRNA from 1 species